UCAUUGAGGUAACUGAGACUGAGAGCUUCAGAGAGCCUUUGCUUCCACAGAUGGAUAUUCCAUGCUGUGCUCUGUCCUUGCCUGGCUUUUGACUUACAGGCCUAAGCUCACGGAGUGGUGCUGUGGGCCUACUGAGGAAGGGGAAGGCAGGUUUCUACCAAAGGCUGAGCUGACAUCAGUUCCCAGCAAUAGAAGUGCUUGAUUUUUCUUCUGUAUUUUUGCCUGGUUGCAGCCUUGCAGUGACUUUUUCUCAGACCAGUCAGUCUCUUUGAUGCAGUGUAAUUACAGUGGCAGAGAUGAUUCCAGCAAUGGGAUCUGAAGGGGAGGUAACACAUAUGUGGAUAGUUCACCUCUCAACAUAGCAGGGUCAGGACAACCAAUAUUGCCUGUCCUAGUCAAGGGAAAAGGUCAUUGGUAUUAGAAAUCUGGGAGGCAGACAGAAUCCUAUUGCUCAGGACCUGGAAAUGCAGGGAAAUACAAGCCUGGCAGCUUUGAUGCUGGAUUAUUCCCUGUAUUUGUGGCAGUGGAUUGAUGUAACUGAUCAGAAAGAAUCCUCUCUGCCAAAUCCCAUGGUUGAACCCCUGCCCAGGACGAUGAGCUCAUGUGGUGGUGUCAUGGGCUGAGCUGUGUUCUUCACUGUUACAGAUUUUUCACAGCCCCCUGGUUUUGUCUGCAGUUUUUGCUGCUCAGGCACAGUUCUGCUCUCCCUUCUUGUAUCCUGCUCAGGAGUUACACAGAUCCUUAGAGCAGGCUGCUCUCCCUCACAGAACCAUGCCAGUGUCUGCAGUCAAUUCAAAACAACUUACCCGGGAUUCACUUGUCCUAAAAAAUAAGCAUGGGCUGACAGCUUUUAUAUAUAAAGCCUGAAAAAAAGGAAAGAAAACAAGGAAGCACAGAAGAGAACCCAGUUGGUACAGGGAUACACGACAUAGUGCCAGUUUGGCUAAAGUCUUUUCCUGAAUGCUGGAGCUCAUCCAGGGUGAAAGUCACAGUGUUGCUGUGACUGAUGCUGACCUUGCUUGUUCAGCCAUACCAGAGCACAUCAGUCCUGGCUCUGAUCACAGCCUCUGGGUGGUUUGGGCCUCACCAUGUCCAGGCAGUGGAUAUUCCUGGGAGCCAGCAUCCCACAACUGUGCAUUGAUGCCAAGGGAGCAGCUUGAGCCCAGGGAUGCUCAGGUUACAGUGAGUGGCCAUCUAAUAGCAGCACUUGUUGAGAAAUACCAGUUGAAUCUGUGGCUUCUGGUGCUGAGGAAUGAACUGAUUGGGAGGGAAAAUUAGCCAGGGUGUAUUUUAAUUGUAUUUAUUAAAUUCCUUUAAAGCUUCCAAGUCAUUUGCAGAGGCGUGGGUGAGGGUUUCAGUGAGAUGGUAGGUUAAGGAAGAGAAUGAGAAUGUUGGCUUGGAGAAAAGGGGGUGAGGAAUUACAGUGCCUUUGUGUAAGUAAGUCUCUUUCUGCAUCAAACUGUAGUUUUUGACCUUCCUAAUUAAUGUUGUUGUUUUUCUUCUUACUGCAGUGCAAGUGGUCCCAGGCUGACCUGUUGGUUCACAAGAUAAAAGGGGUUAACUCAUCAGAAUGGAGAUCCCCUCUAUUGGCUUAUCCAAAUCUUUACUAAAAGUGUGAUAUCCACGAACACAAAUAGAAAAAUGCAUCCAAGAAUUAUGUAUGUGGGAGUUAAAAGGAGGGAGUGAAAAAAGGAAAAAAGUCUAUGUUGCUUUGAGGUUAUUUUGAAAACUGAAACUGAAUAGGUCAAUACCCCUUAAGCUUUUUGGUCUUUAAUUCUCUUAAUGCUAUGGCAGAAAUCAUUAAUUGUAUUAUUAAAAAAGCUUUGAAGACUGUAUUAAUGUAAUGUGACCUCGGAUCAGUCAAGAUCACAUUUUCAUUAUGAUUAAAAGAUUCCUUGUCCUGAAACAUUGAUCUCAUCUCCAGCUGGCUGUGUCAGCCAGAGAGGGGCUGGCUGCAUGACAGGGCAGUAGAUGGCAAUAUUGCAUUUCAUUCUGCAGCUGCUCUGCAGAAAUGCUCACCUCAGAAAGGGGCCAUGAACUUUUCCCCUCAGCUUCCUAGAGCACGUUUGCACUUAGAGACUGCAUUAAGUAUUCCAGAAGGGAAAUUAUUCAAAAUCCCAUUUUGAACCCAAAUUUCUUUAGUGACUGGAGUCAAGUGCCUGAGCUACAAACUGCGGGACCCAACCAGUCCUGAUCCUGACUGUCAGCUCUGAGAAUGGGCAUUUGCAUGGUAGGGACCAUCAGCAAUAUCUGUCCUGUGGCAGGGAUUCAAUGAGCCAGUAUCUGACCCCUGGAAGUAACAUCUCCCACUUGGAUACUGUCAUUUGUCUAGGUUUUUGGUAAAUUGUCAGCCUUUUAAUAUAUUUUCUUUAUUCUUCCUCCUUUUUGGUGACUUUCCCACCUUUCCAGUGAAUUUUUCACCUUUGCAUCAAGGGACUGAAAGCUGAAUCAACUCAUUUAGUUUAUAUCAUAACUGGAGAAGGUCAGAGAGGUUCAUAGCUCACAUGUUGUUUUCCUUUCAGCUGUAAUAUUUGGCCAGACCUUGUAGCAGGUCCUGAAGAGGGAAAGAGCCACUUUGCAAAGAGCUAGGAUGGGGGAAGGUGUGUGUUCCAGAGUCUUACACUGGCUGUGCUGUGCCCUAACGUGCUGUGCUGCUCAGCAGGCGGACAAGGACUUCAGAACAUGGGUGACAUCUGGGCUCAGGGGUUUAUGAAAAUCAAAUUUGUUGUGGCAGCUCCAAGCUAUGGUGUGUGCAAAGUGCUCCUCCUUCCCUGUUCCAUGGGCUUAUGCCAUGUGUCUGCACAGUCCUGGCAGGUACCGAGGUAACUGCCUUACUCCUCCCCACCACGCAGGGUGCUGCAGGAUGCUGGUGCUCACACCGAGUGAUGGGAAGCAGAGGGGUGUGCUGGCUGGUGUUAAAGCCUCAGUGCUGCUGACUUUUCUAUAAAUAACUGCUGUCUGCUGUAAUUGGUCAUAUCACAGCCCAUGGUGAUCUUUUAUGUUAUUGCUGGCUGCUGGAAAACUCCUGGAGGCGUAAAAUAGAUACCAGGAACUUCCUGCACCCAGCACUGCUUUUCCCCAUGCAGCACAACAGGCUAGAACAGAAAUAGUGUUUAUCAGUAGCUGGUGAAGAAUUUUCUGCAGCAGGAAGGAUGAAAAAAAAAAAGAAAGAAGAGAUUGCACCUCUAAAAUGAUAGCAGCAGGUCAUCUCUCCUGCAGGAUAUUGCUAGGUCUGUUGGAAAGAGAAAAUCUUCGUAGGGUUUCUAGUGUGGAGCUGAAUGGGUAUUAUUAUUUGUCUGCAACUUAGGGGUAUUUUUCAGCUCUCCAUAAAAUAACAGUGUCUUGCAAGAGAUUGAAAACUAGAGAAAAAUGUCAGUAUAUGUGUGUGUUUAUGUUUAAAAUGUGUAGUGUGUUCUGUCCUGAAGGAUUCAGAAACCUUUACAGACCAGGAAUGCUCUGUGCCACCCUCCCUCAAAUUCAGCCAGCUGUAUUUGAUGUGAAGCACAACACUGAGGUGAAGCUGCCCAGCAUCAGGAAUUUAUGUUUUUAUUAAAGGAGGGCAGGAAGUGGUUUGGGUGGAAAGGGUUGAAUUGCCAAGCUCAGCAGUGACCAGUUGAAAUAGCAAGUGCCUCUAAGACCAUCAGGGAGAAGACACAAUGAAAUAAAAGAGCUAUGCUUGGAGAAGACUCUGGUCUGCAAACUGCAGUACAAAAGCUUUUCUCACCACCUGCUUUUGAGGACUGUACACCAGGAAGGAGCCUCUCCAGCCCAAUUUUCUGAAGGCAAACUGGUGCUUUCCACGCUGCUCUGUGCACCCCUGGCACCUUGCAGAGAGAUAAAGAUUGCUUGUGAGCUGUUCACUGUGACAGUUACAUCUUUUAAAUUUCAGAAUCAUCGUUUUAGUGUUGGGAUUUUUUGAUGGUUGCACUUGGAAGACUCCUCUAAUCCAAUUUAUACCACUCACAGAAUUGCUGAGGUUGGAAAGGACCUCCAAGACCAUGGAGCCUGUGACUGAUCCUCACCUUGUCGGAGCGCUGAGUGCCACGUCCAGGCCUUCCUUGGACACUUCCAGGGAUGGGGACUCCAGCACUGCCCUGGGCAGUCUGUUCCAAUGCUUAACUACCCUUUCCAUGAAGAAAUUCUUCCUGAAGUUUUCCUGCAUGAUCCCCCAGGGAUAAGUGGAGUAUGGCAGUUUUUCUCCCUCAUGGUGACCUGGUACCAUGCCACAAAGUGUGGGACCUUAAAGUUCGAGGAAAAGAGUGCAAGAUCUGGCACCUCUCCUGUGAAAUCAGAGAUCCUCUCUGCUCUUCUGAUCUGCUCACAAUUCCUGGAUGAGACAGGGGCUUUGGCAAGCUUUUGAAGCCAGGCCAUGGCAAUGGUACCCCAUGGGCCCUCGUUGCCUCACAGAUGCAUUUUCCUCGUGGUUUCAUAGCACCUAGAAGGAGCAAGCAGCUGAGCUGGAUAAACACACAUUGUUUCCUAUUCAAGGGAUAAAUAUGGCCUUUUGAAGAGCAGCCAUGGCUGAGUGCUAUAUAGGACUACAGAGAAUUAUCAACAGGCUUUUGCUUUAGCAAAUGUCAUGCUACCAGAAGAAUGGUGCAGUUUGUGGUGGCAUCCAGCCAGUGCCCUCUCAUGAGGAAGAAUCAAUUUGCAAAGUAUUAAGUCCUUGGGCUCUGCUGAGGAGAGGUGACCACCCAUGAAAACCACUGACAUGAAAAGAAUGCAAGGGAAGCUGUCAUCUGGUAAACAUGAAGAAAGAGGACCAGCACGACUUGUGGCUUGGAACAACAAAAGCUUUGGACCACAAGGACUACAGAUAUCUGGAAAAACAUGGAGAGAGCAUGGGGACAGCUGCUAGGCUGUGUAAGUCUAGAAGCUGGCUAAUCAAAAGUGGUCUGCGGAAGACUUUAGUGACUUGGAAGGCAGUUCUGAGACUCCCCCAGACUCAGCAAACUUUCCUGAUCCAAGGAACCAAAAAACAAAGAUGUGUCACAGGCCUGACUGAAUAUGGGAGCUGGGAAGACAGAGCUCAUUCAUCAGAAAGCCUGGAAAUCUCCUGGGGAAAGGUGGAAAACAAAUUAAUAUCUCAUCUGCAAGCUCCUACAGGUUCUCCAGUACUGAACUGUUCCAAGAUGCUAACUCAAGUAUUACAAGUGACUGCAGGAUUGAUGCCAGAACGCAGUAGGUGUGGAUUCACAGAGCCCUCUUUGUUCCAGGCAGUCUCAGCCCGUGUGCAGGGCUCAGAGAAGG